CAAAGUGUAGCUUAAACAAAGCGUCUGGCUUACAUCCAGAAGAUUUCAUUAAUAUAUGACUACUUUGA